rnacentral:lncRNA from 1 species
UGUUUAUUCCGCCAUUUUGAUUGAUGUUUUUGUAAAGCAGUGAACCUUAAAAACGCGUAUAAGAUGUUCAAGAGAUCAGAGCCGAAGAGGUCUUGCCAACGGAAAUAAUGGACAAGCUAAAAAAAUUAGAAGAUUCUGUUGAGAAUCUAA